CAUAUUCUUGAACUACUUCCAGAAAGUCCUAAGAAGAAACCCGAACCAAGAUUGUGAAGGUGUAUGAAGAGAUUGAGGAAUUGUGCCUGAAAUACAUGAAAGAAUGUUCUGGUGGACUCUAUCAGUGGCCUAAAAAGACUGACUACAGCUGGGAGAGUUUUUCAACCAUUCUUAAAUCGUUGCCAAAACCAGCGCUCUCGGAAAAAGGCACCAACAUAAGACAGUUAUAUAAAUUCAUGGAAUAAAAACUAAUUCGUCAUGCAUUGUAAUAUUGGAUGCUUUAAGUGAUAUCUAAUAGAAAUAAAGAUACUCCUUAUAGAACAAUGAAAACAUUUUUCAACUUGUCCAUGCUUGUAAUUGUCAGAAAUAUUUUGCACUUUUUAGGAUUAAAGAGCAUAGUUAUUAUUAUGA